GAAACACUCAGCGUAACAACUCCUGAGAUUGAAGAGGAUGAUGAUUAUAUCGAUGAUCUUUAUUUGGAUGAAAAAGUGACUGCUGUUCCUACCACAACUACUACUGGUUAUUCUAUUACAGAGGAGGACAUUUCAGAUGAAGAAGCAAUUCGUAGGAACGCUCAGUUUAUUUUUGAUGAUGAUAAUGAGAAAGAGGACAAUGCAGGUGA